AACGAACGCUGGCGGCAGGCUUAACACAUGCAAGUCGAGCGCCCCGCAAGGGGAGCGGCAGACGGGUGAGUAACGCGUGGGAACGUACCCUUUGCUACGGAAUAGCUCCGGGAAACUGGAAUUAAUACCGUAUGUGCCCUACGGGGGAAAGAUUUAUCGGCGAAGGAUCGGCCCGCGUUGGAUUAGCUAGUUGGUGGGGUAAUGGCCUACCAAGGCGACGAUCCAUAGCUGGUCUGAGAGGAUGAUCAGCCACAUUGGGACUGAGACACGGCCCAAACUCCUACGGGAGGCAGCAGUGGGGAAUAUUGGACAAUGGGCGCAAGCCUGAUCCAGCCAUACCGCGUGGGUGAAGAAGGCCUUAGGGUUGUAAAGCUCUUUCAGUGGGGACGAUAAUGACGGUACCCACAGAAGAAGCCCCGGCUAACUUCGUGCCAGCCGCCGCAGUAACAC
rnacentral:rRNA from 1 species